rnacentral:rRNA from 1 species
GACGAACGCUUGCGGCGUGCCUAAGAAAUGCAAGUCGAACGGAUCACCUUCGGGUGGUUAGUGGCGAACGGUCGCGUAACACGUAGGCAACCUGCCUCGAAGUGGGGGACAACAGCCCGAAAGGGCUGCUAAUACCGCAUGUGAUUCUUUUAAGGCAUCUUAUUAGAAUCAAAGCCAGUUUACUGGCGCUUUGAGAUGGGCUUGCGGCCUAUCAGCUUGUUGGUGAGGUAAUGGCUUACCAAGGCGAUGACGGGUAGCUGGUCUGAGAGGACGAUCAGCCGGAUUGGGACUGAGAUACGGCCCAGACUCCUACGGGGGGCAGCAAUUAGGAAUCUUGCACAAUGAAGGAAACCCUGAUGCAGCGACGCCGCGUGCGGGAUGAAGGUAUUCGUAUCGUAAACCGCUUUUAUCGGGGAAGAAGAAUGUGACGGUACCCGAUGAAUAAGCCCCGGCUAACUACGUGCCAGCAGCCGCGGUAAUACGUAGGGGGCGAGCGUUGUCCGAAGUCACUGGGCGUAAAGCGCGUGUAGACGGUCGCUUAAGUUUGGGGUGAAAGGUUCAGCGCUCAACGCGAACAGUGCCUUGAAAACUGGGUGACUUGAGUUUGGGAGAGGGUAGCGGAAUUCCUGGUGUAGCGGUGAAAUGCGUAGAUAUCAGGAGGAACACCGAUGGCGAAGGCAGCUACCUGGCCUAAAACUGACGCUGAGAUGCGAAAGCGUGGGGAGCGAACGGGAUUAGAUACCCCGGUAGUCCACGCCGUAAACGAUGAGUGCUAGGUGUUCGGGGUAUCGACCCCCCGUGUGCCGUCGCUAACGCAGUAAGCACUCCGCCUGGGGAGUACGGCCGCAAGGUUGAAACUCAAUGGAAUUGACGGGGGCCCGCACAAGCGGUGGAGCAUGUGGUUUAAUUCGUCACUAACCGAAGAACCUUACCCAGGCUUGACAUCGAGGGUAAAGCUAUGAAAGUAGCUCCCCGACGCAAGUCGGCCCAAAGACAGGUGUUGCAUGGCUGUCGUCAGCUCGUGUCGUGAGAUGUUGGGUUAAGUCCCGCAACGAGCGCAACCCUCACCGUAUGUUGGCAGCGUAAAGUCGGCAACUCUUACGGAACUGCCCGUGCAAGCGGGAGGAAGGUGGGGAUGACGUCAAGUCGGCAUGGCCCUUACGCCUGGGGCUACACACAUGCUACAAUGGACGGCGACAAAGGGGUGCCAACUCGUGAGAGUGAGCCGAUCUCAAAAAUCCGUCCUCAGUUCGGAUUGCAGGCUGCAACUCGCCUGCAUGAAGCUGGAAUCGCUAGUAACCGCAGGUCAGCUAAACUGCGGUGAAUACGUUCCCGGGCCUUGUACACACCGCCCGUCAAGUCACCUGAAUUGUCUGCACCCGAAGCCAGCGGCCUAACUCGCAAGAGAGGGAGUUGUCUAAGGUGUGGGGAGUAAGGGGGACUAAGUC